rnacentral:tRNA from 1 species
CGGGGUGUGGCGCAGCCUGGUAGCGCGUUGCGUUCGGGACGCAAAGGUCGCUGGUUCAAAUCCAGUCGCCCCGA